rnacentral:rRNA from 1 species
ACGUAGGGUGCAAGCGUUAAUCGGAAUUACUGGGCGUAAAGCGUGCGCAGGCGGUGUUGUAAGACAGAGGUGAAAUCCCCGGGCUCAACCUGGGAACUGCCUUUGUGACUGCAACGCUAGAGUAUGGCAGAGGGGGAUGGAAUUCCGCGUGUAGCAGUGAAAUGCGUAGGUAUGCGGAGGAACACCGAUUGCGAAGGCAAUCCCCUGGGGCGGUACUGACGCUCAUGCACGAAAGCGUGGGGAGCAGACAG